GCACGAUGUUGUCGAAAUAAUUGUCAUGUCAUAAUAUAUAAUUUCGUGAAAAUCUGAACUUUUAGUUCUUAUUUAUUUUGACAAAUGGAUUUUCAUCAAGUAAAAGCCACCUCAGUUCAACAUUUGAAUGUAGCCUGUAGCCUCCUUUGCAAAACACAGAUGGGGAUAGAUUUACUGCUGCGUGCGGUGGAAAUAAAUCAAAACUUCGUUGGCGUUUGAGACAGAUAUUCCGCGUUUAUCACGAUUACAGCACCCUCGCCGAAUGUUUUUCAACGUGAGCAGCCACAGCCAUACAGAUGUACCUACACAAAAAAUAAAUCCCGUUAACAUAUGUACGUGCGGCUUUAAAAAACUGGAUAAAUCUAUUUUUGUACAGGUUUUUCGUACGUUUUUUAUUUGUCAUGUUGUUUUUAGGCUCGUGGCAAACACGAAAUAUUUAGCAUUAGAAUUAGGUUUUGUUAGCCGUUUCGAAUGAAGUCCGCGUGGAAAUUAGUAGAGUCCGGACACAGUCUUCGAGCUUUCAAUUAAUCAAAUGAUGAUCAGCCUUUUUUAAAACUCAUCUUAUCCAUGCAGAUAAUCUUCAGAAAAAGCCAGUCACGCAGUUUAUUGUGAAAUAUCAUUUAAUAUAAUACAUAAUUAUGGUCGAAGUACUUGGUUGUUUUAUAAACUGAAAUUUGAAGGAAAGUAGCGCCAUCCCAUUUUAGUGUAACGACAAAUGACACUAAUUUAUAAUACAAUUAUUAAUAUUAUAUGUCUAUAUAGUUAAUAAACAAUUUGGUAAUUUUGUUUUGUUCUUUCUUAUUUUUUCCGAUUAAUAUGUGCUUGGGCCAAUUUUUUUCAGAGGAAACUCUUAGAUCGGGAGAUUCCAAUUUUAAUUUAACUUUUGUCCUCCGAGUUUCUUCGUGUCGUGAUGACAUUUGCGGCGUAAUUUACUUCAGAUACAUACGAAAUUAGACGCUCGCUGGAAACAAUUAAUUCUCUGCUUCUGUUUUAGACCGACUUAACGAACUGCCGAUGGGUUUAUUGUGACGACUGCCGCAGAAACACGUUGAUAUGCCAAAACAACGAUUGCAAAACAUCCUCUAAAUAGACGCUCCGGGAUGUGUAUCAAACAAAUGAUGCUCGGGAAACGAAUUCCUUGCUAUAAAACAUUGAAUACCCGAAUAACAUUUAAUUUAUAGAGUGCAUCAAUUUAUAAAAUUUGGGAAUCAUUUUUAAGGAGAAAAAAACGUAGUUAUACAUUUUAAUGGAAUAACAAAAUUGUGUUAUCACAUUUUUUCC